UGGGGAGUGGGGAAAUUCCCUGCAGCAUCUUCAACAGUGAUUCCAAACUCUUCAGACUGGAGGACUAGAAGAAUGAAAGAGGCUCAACUCUCGUGGGCUGAAGUGAACUUACACAUUGCAUGAUGGAAGAAAUACUCAGAGCAGCUAUAUCGACCCUGUCUGAGAUGAUGACCUUCAGUCCAGGAGGAGCUUCACCCACAGUUCUGUUGUGAGAGGCAUGGCAGUCUCCUGAAAAGCCCCACAGAUAUAUUUUGUAUCUGAAGAGGAUUUUUUUUCUGACAGCGAACAAACUACUAUGUUAAAAAUAUGGACCUAUGCUAAAGCAUAUUCCUAAUGGGAACUUGUAGCAGUUUAAGACUUAGUGGAAAAUUCUAAACUGAGAAACCAGGACUUUCCUGAAAGCUUAGUGCAAAAGGUAAAGAGAGGAUUAGUUGUAAAAAGAAUAAUAAUGAUAAAGUCUAUAUUAUUCUUUGGUUUGCUGAUUGGGCUAAAAAGGCAGUGUAUAAACAUUUUCUUUUUCUUCCUCUCCUUGGCUUCGAUUUCCUUCCAACUCUCUGCUUCGCACUUCUAUCCUUAUCUCUGUCCUAACCUUCUCAGUGGUACAAACUGACUAGGAGGUAACAAGAGAAGGGAGGGAGAGGGAAGAGGGAGCAGAUCUGGUUGCUGGAAAACCUGGGUUUGUCCAGGGAGAAAUGUUGUGUUAUUGCUCAAUUGUAAAUAAUUGCAAAUAUUUGUAAAUAUAUUUUGUACAUAUGCAUUGUA